CCAGGGAAGGUGGGGAGGGUGGGGCUGGGGCGACGGGGCAGCCUGGUCUGGGCCUCAGGAAGUGGCUUCGGAACUAAGAGCUGGUUUGCUGCUGGGUGAGUCUCUGUUUACUCAGUGGCCCUGCUUCUUGGGCCAAAAUUAACAGCAAAGGCCACAGUGAAAUGGUGAUUUGCGGACCAAUUUAGCUGAAAGAAACCGCUGGUCUCAUGUGUCUAUUUAGAGCAGACGCCUUGCGCUCGCUCUCAUCCAGGGCUGCAUGGGGCCCACACGUGGACUUGGUUUGACCCUUGUAUCAGGAGGAGAAUUUGCUGCUGUUAUUAACUGCAAGAGAGGUCCCCGUGUGAAAACCUUGACCUCUGGCUGCCCUGCACUGCCCUGAGGAUGUGGGGACUCCGGCUGACAGACCUCCCGCACAGCUGCAAGAGGUGCUGUGUAACCUGAAUCCGUGAGUGAAUGCAUGAAAAUUGAUUCAACCAGAUGGACACUUGGGUCACCAUUUCUCUCCCAGUUGAUUCAGAAAGCAAGCAAACAACAAACAACGCUGGCUAUGAGAUUGUUAGCAAUGAGUCCGAAAUUUCCCUUAGUGCUGGAAAACUUUGCUAGCUGAGAUUUCUCUCCCCAUCACACCCAGUUCCCUCCUCCCAAGAUACCAAUUAAACUUUUUUUAAGCCCCUGAGAUGAAGAGGAAUAUCUCUGCUGUGAGGAGUUCCUAAUUCAGUGAUGCUGCUCCUUAGAGAAUCAAGUCUGCCCAGGAAUAGUCUUCCCUAAACUUCUAAACUGGGCUCCUCUGAGACUAGACAUCCUCAAAAAAUGGUCCCACAUGAACUAACUGAGACCAUUUUGCAGACUGUAUUUUCCUUUUAGAGAUUCACAUGUUAGGAUGUGGAAAGGCUCUGAGAAGUCCUACAACUAAUAAACGUC